UGGGGAAUAUUGGACAAUGGGCGAAAGCCUGAUCCAGCCAUGCCGCGUGUGUGAAGAAGGUCUUCGGAUUGUAAAGCACUUUAAGUUGGGAGGAAGGGCAUUAACCUAAUACGUUAGUGUUUUGACGUUACCGACAGAAUAAGCACCGGCUACCUCUGUGCCAGCAGCCGCGGUAAUACAGAGGGUGCAAGCGUUAAUCGGAAUUACUGGGCGUAAAGCGCGCGUAGGUGGUUUGUUAAGUUGGAUGUGAAAUCCCCGGGCUCAACCUGGGAACUGCAUUCAAAACUGACUGACUAGAGUAUGGUAGAGGGUGGUGGAAUUUCCUGUGUAGCGGUGAAAUGCGUAGAUAUAGGAAGGAACACCAGUGGCGAAGGCGACCACCUGGACUAAUACUGACACUGAGGUGCGAAAGCGUGGGGAGCAAACA
rnacentral:rRNA from 1 species